UACGGGGGAGCAAGACGUUGUUCGGAUUUACUGGGCGUAAAGGGCGCGUAGGCGGCGCAACAAGUCACUUGUGAAAUCUCCGGGCUUAACCCGGAGCGGCCAAGUGAUACUGUCGUGCUAGAGUGCGGAAGGGGCUACUGGGAAUUCUCGGUGUAGCGGUGAAAUGCGUAGAUAUCGAGAGGAACACCUGCGGCGAAGGCGGGUAGCUGGGCCCGACACUGACGCUGAGGCGCG
rnacentral:rRNA from 1 species